rnacentral:tRNA from 1 species
GACCCUUUCGUCUAGUGGCUCAGGACACUUCGUUCUCUGCGAAGUAACAGAGGUUCAAAUCCUCUAGGGGUCGCCA